CUAUGCGCCUUGCCAGCCCGCUCAGGUGUGCCAGCCGCCGCGGUAAUACGUAGGGAGCAAGCGUUGUCCGGAAUUACUGGGCGUAAAGGGCGCGUAGGUGGGCGCUUAAGUCAGGUGUGAAAACUCCGGGCUCAACCUGGAGACUGCACUUGAAACUGGGUGUCUUGAGGGGCAGGAGAGGAAAGUGGAAUUCCUAGUGUAGCGGUGAAAUGCGUAGAUAUUAGGAGGAACACCAGUGGCGAAGGCGACUUCCUGGACUGUACCUGACGCUGAGGCGCGAAAGCGUGGGUAGCGAACGGG
rnacentral:rRNA from 1 species